CUAUUACACACAUUUUAUAGCAGUACAUGCUAUAUAUAGUGAGAAUGGACAAUAUGGAGAAAUAAAAUUGGCGAUAUCUGUAUCAGCAAGCCUAGUUUGAUAAGGCAAGCCUAGUUUACCGGGACUGCCAAUUAAAGUGUGUAAGGGAAUAUUUUGAAUCGCCUUUUUCAAGGAAUGAGAUCGAAAGGAGCUGAGAUAGCAAGGAGAUAUCGGGAACGUUGUGAUGCUGACCCAGACAGAAAAAGAAAGUACUUUGAGAAAGAAAGGGACAAAUGGAAAAAAGACAGAGAGACUGGAAAGAAGAAAGGUAUCAAUGAGCUCAGUGAGAGAGAAAAGAGGGCAAAAAGAAAGAAAUGGAGAGAGGCAAAAAGUCAAGCCAGAAACAAGGCCAGUUUUGCUACAGUCAGAGACACCACCCAGCUCCCCUGCUGAAACUCCUGAAAAUCUACGUGAGCCAGGGCCCUCCAGGUUAGAUCAUUGUUUGUUUAGCUGAUGAGACUCAUUAGAAAGUUUAGAUUUAUUUGAAGGCCAAUAUCAACUGUUUAUGUCCCCAUAAAAUGACAUAUUGAUAACUAACUUGCUAAAAUCUUAUAAAAAAAUCCUUACAAAUAUUUGGUGUUUCAGGCAACGGCGUCAAGGGGAAAGCAUUCGAAGGAGUGCGAAGAGAAAUCUUUUAAAUUCGGCGCACUAUGCAGGCACAUCUGUACUUGAGGACGAGCUGGCACGUGUUUUCAAGUCACUCACACUCAAGCUGAGAGGUGACCCCGACUUCAUAGACCCUCUGACAUCAUUCAUCGCGUCCUAUGACAAAAUGACCACGGACAGUGCACUACGAUCAGCCUCCCAGGCGCGUCUGGGAGGUCCUUGCCACCAGGACGUCCCUCAAAGGCUUCCAGGGAGGACCACCCCUAUAAGAGGACGGGGAGGAGGCCAGCUGCUCCUCACGGCUUGGCUCACUGUGUGGAAGCCGAUAUGUCCCUAGGUGGAACACACUAAUGCCAUUGGUAGUCAGUAUUUUUAUAGACUAAUUUUUUCUUCUUCUAAAAUAUGUUUUGUCCUGUGAAUGUGCUACAUGACUGAACUCCGACCACCGUACGUUAAUAAAAAAAUGCUAUUUUUUUCUA